ACUCAAGAAAAGAAUCUUAGUUCAACCUAAAGUAAAUUUUUCGUAAACCCUAAUACACCACUUUAGAGUAAUUCAAGUGGGGUACAGCUCACUUGAAAAAGGACACAACCUAUAACAACGGGUAACCUCCAACCCCAAAACCAAGUAGGCCUAAAAGCAGCCACCUUAAAAAAGCGUCAAAGCUUAAUUUUACUUUGCCUAAUACCACAAUUAGUACAGAACCCUUCACUAAUAUUGAGUACUUCUAUACCCUCCCUAUAGAAUUUUUUAUGUUAAAACUAGUAACAAGAAGACACUUCUCUUACAAUACAAGUGUAAGUCAGCAACGGAUCCCCCACUAAUCCUUAAACAGCUCAACAAACAGCCCCUCCCCCUCCCGAAAACCCUGUUUCCAUCCCCCCUGUUAACCUAACACAAGAGUAUUCCAAGAAAGAUUAAACAAAAAAGAAGGAACUCGGCAAACACUGAUCUCGCCUGUUUACCAAAAACACCGCCUCUUGCUAAAAUAAGAGGUCCAGCCUGCCCAGUGACCCCCCAGUUUAACGGCCGCGGUAUCCUAACCGUGCAAAGGUAGCGCAACCACUUGUCUUUUAAAUAAAGACUUGUAUGAAAGGCAUCACGAAGAUCAAACUGUCUCCUUUUUUUAAUCCGUGAAACUAAUCUUCCCGUGAAGAAGCGGGAAUCACGCUAUAAGACGAGAAGACCCUGUGGAGCUUUAGGCUAAACAGUUUCCGCUUUCCCCGCUACCCACAGUAGUGCAUAUACUAGCGCUUAACUGCUUCCCUUAGGUUGGGGCGACCGCGGAGUAAAACCUACCCUCCGCGCCAGGGAAUUACCCAGCAAAGAGCUACACCUCGAUGCAUCAGCAAAUUGAUACAAUUGACCCAAUUACUUGAGCAACGAACUAAGUUACCCCAGGGAUAACAGCGCAAUCCACUUCAAGAGCCCCUAUCGACAAGUGGGUUUACGACCUCGAUGUUGGAUCAGGGUCUCCCAGUGGUGCAGCCGCUGCUAAAGGUUCGUUUGUUCAACGAUUAAAACCCUACGUGAUCUGAGU
rnacentral:rRNA from 1 species